UGAUCCUGGCUCAGGAUGAACGCUAGCGGCAGGCCUAACACAUGCAAGUCGAGGGGCAGCGGGAGUGCUUGCACUUGCCGGCGACCGGCGCACGGGUGCGGAACGCGUAUCGAAUCUGCCUCUAUCUGGGGGAUACCCCAUGGAAACGUGGAAUAAUACCCCAUAGUAUUACUUUAUCGCAUGAUUUAGUAAUUAAAGAAUUUCGGAUAGAGAUGACGAUGCGUAUCAUUAGCUAGUAGGUAAGGUAACGGCUUACCUAGGCAACGAUGAUUAGGGGUCCUGAGAGGGAGAUCCCCCACACUGGUACUGAGACACGGACCAGACUCCUACGGGAGGCAGCAGUGAGGAAUAUUGGACAAUGGUCGAAAGACUGAUCCAGCCAUGCCGCGUGCAGGAUGACUGCCCUAUGGGUUGUAAACUGCUUUUAUACGGGAAGAAAAACACCUACGUGUAGGUGACUGACGGUACCGUAAGAAUAAGGACCGGCUAACUCCGUGCCAGCAGCCGCGGUAAUACGGAGGGUCCAAGCGUUAUCCGGAAUCAUUGGGUUUAAAGGGUCCGUAGGCGGGCUAUUAAGUCAGAGGUGAAAGUUUGCAGCUCAACUGUAAAAUUGCCUUUGAUACUGAUAGUCUUGAAUUGUAGUGAAGUGGUUAGAAUAUGUGGUGUAGCGGUGAAAUGCAUAGAUAUCACAUAGAAUACCGAUUGCGAAGGCAGAUCACUAACUAUAUAUUGACGCUGAGGGACGAAAGCGUGGGGAGCGAACGGGAUUAGAUACCCCGGUAGU
rnacentral:rRNA from 1 species